UUUAUUAAUUGGUAACAAAUUGUAAAAGGCAACCCUUUUUGACCAAGCUACAGGACAGAUCUCAGAUGUGAAAAAAAAAAAAAAGCAUGGUGUCCUGGCCUGUGUGUCACACUCAGCAUUUGGCAUUUGGUUUCCCAGGGAGCAGGAAGAAACACUGAUCCCACUAUCCAUGUGAGAAUAGGAUACACAGCAUUAAGAAACUCUCUGGCUCACACUAACCACCUGCCUUGAGCCAAGGUUUUGUCCACUGCUGGGGGUCAGACAGGUCUGGGAAUGUCUAAUGGACUAGAAGGGUAGCCCAACAAAGGAAUGUUUGCAUGGAAGCUGGUAGCCUCAUUGCUGAAUCUGAAGAUGAACAUACAUUGUGACUUGGCAACUGACAUCCUUCAAGUCAACUUUCAUGGGGGCUAAAGAAACUCACGGAUGGUCAUUUAUUACAAGGAGACAAAGAGGAAAGCACAACAAACAGGUCUGGCAACAAAGCCAGGGAUGUGAGCGUUGAUUGCAAAUAUAUUACUGGAGCAAUUAGUCAAACAUCUGUGGACUGGACCCAUGGACAUGUCUGGGCUCUAGUUUAGAUAGAUAAAGAUUUGUUGAAGUUGCUUAUCAGCUUAAGGAGAUUUUGGGCUGAGACAAUGGGGUUUUCUAGAUAUACAAUCAUGUCGUCUCCAAAC
rnacentral:lncRNA from 1 species